GUGGGGAAUAUUGGGCAAUGGGCGAAAGCCUGACCCAGCAACGCCGCGUGAAGGAAGAAGGUCUUCGGAUCGUAAACUUCUAUCCUUGGUGAAGAUAAUGACGGUAGCCGAGAAGGAAGCCCCGGCUAACUACGUGCCAGCAGCCGCGGUAAUACGUAGGGGGCAAGCGUUGUCCGGAAUGAUUGGGCGUAUAGGGCGCGUAGGCGGCCUGGUAAGUCUGGAGUGAAAGUCCUGCUUUUAAGGUGGGAAUUGCUUUGGAUACUGUCGGGCUUGAGUGCAGGAGAGGUAAGUGGAAUUCCCGGUGUAGCGGUGAAAUGCGUAGAGAUCGGGAGGAACACCAGUGGCGAAGGCGACUUACUGGACUGUAACUGACGCUGAGGCGCGAAAGUGUGGGGAGCAAACAGGAUUAGAAACCCCAGUAGUCC
rnacentral:rRNA from 1 species